ACGGUGGAAUAGCUAAAAACCUCAUUUUGAGCACCGUGGCACCGGCCAGCCUGACGAUGCAGAACAGAGAACACCUAAAACCGCAGAAGACGUCAGAAUUUUCUUUAGUCGUAACGACGUAACCUAGAAAAGUCGGUUAGGAUUUCAUUUAAGAAUGUGAUAAAAAGUUUAAGCAGUUUGUUUGUUUGAUCGCCAAAAUGUUCGUUGCGGUGUGUUCUUCGGUGUUCAUAUGGCGUUUCAAAGAAUUGUGAGUUUGUGACUAGAUGCCGCGCGUGCUAUCAGACUCAGUUCUUUUCAUCUGUGUUCCUUGAUGUUGUGACAUGAAUUUGUUCUUUUAAAUAAGUAGAAACAUGCAAAGAAUGCAGCUCUCUGUGAGUGUUUGUGAUUCUGGCUUACUUGCAACUCAAUUUACUCAUCCCCUUUGCUUCAUGUUGGUUGGGUGUACUUCGUGAAGACGAGAUAUAAAUUUGGAGGUGAGAUUAUUAAUCUGUCGACGGGGUUCCGUGACCAAUGAAAUCAAACAAGUAAUCAAUUACGAAAUUGGGGAAACAUGGCGAAAGUAAUCAUGAAUUGGAGUUGUUUGCCAGACGUCAAUGGGGUAUCGAGCCGAUCCUCUCUUGAACUUGGAGAACCCACCAGGAAAAGAGGUAAAAUUAAACUAAGGUUUGCGCUUCAGAUCAAGAAUUGACAAACGUGCCAACCAUCAUCAGUUCGAAUCCAUCGUUAUCUAAAAAAGAAGCCUAUCUAUAAUUUACAAAAUUCAACAUCGAAAUCACUAUCCAAAGAAAAUUAAGCCACAGUGCAAAUCAAGCCAAGACGUUGCGACGUCAUCGGAGCUUCCUUUUGCCCCAUCAUCCUUGAUCAUUCUUUAGGCUUCGUUUUAACACAUUUUUUUCCAAUCGUCCUGAAUAUCCGAUCAAUCUGCCCUAUUAAUUUUUUGUUUACGAUAAUGUUACGAUUAUUGCCUGCCUUGACCGUGUUAACUGUACAUAAUCUGGUUGUGCUUACCUCUGCUGUUUGAUUCUUUUUGAAAAUUAAAUUAAUACGUGUAAUACAUUUAUAUACACCUUUA
rnacentral:lncRNA from 1 species